GGAUUAUUGAGACUGCGGGAUAGUGGACACAAUCUUUUCCAAUAACCAUCAACAUUGCCGCGAUGAAUGUAAGGGUAUGGAGCACGCCUAGGAUCCGGUCUUUAUGGUCCAUUACUUCCCCGUUCUUUAUCACAUUGGCCGUAUUGCAGCCCAUCUAGGAAUUUCCUGUAUCUUGCUUUGAAAGGCAAGUCUUUCUUCACAAGGCGCCCUCUUGAACUCCUGUCUGUUGCAUUGAAAAAGUGAGUCUUCUUUUACGAAGUGUCCUUUUGCCUGUCAGGUCCCCUUUCCAGUUUAGGUCCAUGAAAUCCCGCUAUUUUGUACAGGAUCGGAACGACGAUGUCCUAUCUGGGCUCUCGGGGCUCUCGAUCGCGGGAUCCUUUUGCACCGAUGACUGUAGCUCUUUGAACGAUCUCCUCAGCGGAACGGCUCCUUUAGGAGCCUCCUAAAAGAGUCCCUUCUUGAGACUGUCUUUUCCUAAGCGGGUCCCCUCUCAACAUUCUUCUAGUAGGCUAUAGUCGUUUUAUACCAUCUUAGAUCUUUCUCUGGUCUACUCCUAUAAUCGGUUCUAUGGGCCAAGUGUUCCCGCCUAGGAAUAAUAUUUAACUACUUCUCCUGUUUUGGGAGUCAAUGCCCUGCUGAUAAGCUCUGCCAUUAACUGGAGUAGAAUUUCCAUUAGAACUGGAGUGGACAUCUGACACUUGCUUUUUGCCGAACUGCAUUUAACUCACUUGACUCAUAUUCUCUGCUUCAGAUUCUGGCUGUUUCAUAGGUGAAUCUUCAGAGUCUUAUGAUCUUACAUAGAGGGUGUACGUGAGAACACUUACUAUUAAUUUCAUCCGUAGCCUUUCUUAGCUCUAAGUAAUAUACAUAUUUUACAAAAAUUAAAAAGGCAAACAUUCAUUGGAUAUGUCACAAGAAAAAGUAUGCGAAAAAGCAGCAAAGUUGCCAGCGACAUUGGCGGUUAAAGCAAUUGCAUAACACUUUGAAUACUUAUUGGUACAAGCAAAGAAAAUGUAUACUCUUUU